GCCCAGGUGGCGAAAUUGGUAGACGCAGGGGACUCAAAAUCCCCCGCCGCGAGGCGUGACGGUUCGAGUCCGUCCUUGGGCACCA
rnacentral:tRNA from 1 species